GUCGAUAUUUAUCAAUUUUCUUCAUAUCCAAGAUAAAAAAAAUAGUUUUCUAGCUUACUCAAGAUUUGGUUACAUGUUUCUGGUUUACUCAGUGUUUUGUUUAGACAGGUUUCUGGUGUAGUCAGUGUUUGGUUUAGACAGGUUUCUGGUGUACUCAGAGUUGAACUCAGGAUCUGGUUUAGCCAUUGAUAUGGUGUACUCAGGGUAAGGUCAAGAAUGGUGUUUAAUAUAGUAAGGGUUUGGUUUAUACAGGUCUCUUGUGUAUUCAUGGCUUGGUUAAGACAGGUUUCUGAUUUACUCACGCUUUAGUUUUGACAGAUUUACCAUUUACUCAUGGUUGGGUUUCGACAGGAUUUUGGAGUACUUAGGAUUUGGUUUAGAUAGGUUCUUGUGUAUUUAAUGUUUCGAUUUUACAGUUUUCUGGUGUACUUGUGGCUUGGUUUAAAUUUUAGGUGUGUAUUGAUUAAUAUGGGUUUCUUGUUUAUUCACGGUU
rnacentral:lncRNA from 1 species